UAUAUUUUUUAAUAUAUAUAUAUAUAUAGUGUAGAACUACUAUGCUAUCGAAAAUAUAGAGGAUUUGAUGUUUUUGAAUUUUUGACCCUUUGAUUAAAAAUUGUAUGAUUGGGAUGAUUGCGGUCUCCCCUAGGGUUUAAUAAUACUCUUUUUAGGAUUGAGUGGUCCCUACAAGGUAAUAAUAAUAUUAAUCCAAAGAUAGGAAACGAUUAAAGGGAUUGAUCUAAG
rnacentral:lncRNA from 1 species